rnacentral:rRNA from 1 species
CGCGUAGGUGGUUAGUGCAAGUCUGAGGUGGAAUCCCAGGGCUUAACCCUGGAACUGCCUUGGAAACUGCACUACUUGAGUCAGUGAGGGGAGGGUAGAAUUCCUGGUGUAGCGGUGAAAUGCGUAGAUAUCAGGAGGAAGGCCGGUGGCGAAGGCGGCCCUCUGGCGCUGAACUGACACUGAGGCGCGAAAGCGUGGGUAGCAAACAGGAUUAGAUACCCUGGUAGUCCACGCCCUAAACGGUGGGUACUAGGUGUAGGGCUCGUAAGGGUUCUGUGCCGAAGCGAAAGCAUUAAGUACCCCGCCUGGGGAGUACGGGCCGCAAGGUUGAA